ACAGUCUUUGAGUGUGGUGGAGGCCAGGCAAGACAGCAGGCAUCCAGGCCAGGACCCAGCCUUAGGUUACACUUUGCAGGGAACGUCCAGAGGAACUUUAAGGGGUGCUGGACUCCGGCGGGCCUUCCCUGGGGAAUGGCCCUAAGAGAGCCACUAGAGCCGCUGACUUUCCUGGUCUCCAUAAAGCAGGGGCCCCUCUUCCUGCUGCAGUGGCCCUGCUCACCCAUGUGAGGAUGCACCAUGGUGCUAGGGUGUCUCAAGACUGGGCGACAGGUGAAUGGAGGAAAGAGAAGAGCGAAUCUUGUGAUCCACUGGGUGUGCGGUGGUGGCCUACCUGGUUGGGUGGUCCAGACUUCCACGCCUGAGAGCCCGAGCCCUUGGUCGUCACGUCCUCCUUUGGCUUUGGCUGCUGCUCUUGUCCAUUCACCAUCAAAUAUGGAUGAAAGAGUCCAAGGCGACACCUUGAUGGAUCUCCUGAGUGCCGAAUGGAGUCAGUAGCUUCAUUGUGCAGUAGCUUCAUCCUCCUGAGAAUCCCCCUGCGAUUCCCCAGCCUGCCAGGUGUCCCACAUGAACGCAGCCUGUUCUGGUUCUCCUUCCUGAUAAGAGUGGAAAAGAAUGCAUUCACCCGGUAUGGGCUGCAUUCCUGGGCCACAGGCCACCAAGCUCACCUGCACCAGGAAAGCUGCUCCCCACCAGUUACAAACAGCAACUGCCUGAUCGAGUUGCAGAUGUCCAUUGUCAUCCUCUAGGGUCUGUCGGGAUUUUCUAGGGCCAGACGUGAAUUAAAUAGGGGUGUGCUGGGUGCAGCCCUCGCAUCCUCUAGGUGUUUAAUCUCUGGCAUUUCCUCUGGGAUGUGAUAUUAUUUUUGAUUUCCUGCAUUGAUGUGUGUGUCUGGGAGUGGGGGGCCUCCACUUGAACUUCCCCAUGGUGGUAGUUCCUACCACCGACUCCUAGGAACUAAUGUGGCAGUUUUACCAAUUUCAAAAGUCAGUUUGAAUUCUACAUUUGGAGGCUGGGGAAAGGGCUCCUGGUUGGGUCUAUGGACCCAGGGGAGUCACUGUGAGCUGGGUUUGGUUACCUCUUCCUUCAAAACCGGCCCCUGCACACCUCCACUCUAACAGAGGGUUCAGGACCAGGCCUAGGUCCCUAGGUACCAGUGUCGCCUCAGAUCCUGUGCCCAGUGGUCCUCACAUGGCAUGUGUCUCUUUGUGGACGAUCUGGGGGAGAAUGUUUGUACAGACACUGCUGUGAUGGGGGAGAAUGUUUGUAUAGACACUGCUGUGAUGUUGGAGGGUCCUUCCUCCCGGGGCUCACCCUCUCCCUCAGUCAGUGGGUUCCAGGUCUGAAAAUGAGCUCAGCUCCAGGGCUGAAAUGUAGCUUUCUAUUGGUCAUUUUCCUGAAGCCUCUUGACUAGUUUCCCUUGAGAAAAGCUUUUGCUAAGGGUGUGUGGAUUGAGAGGUGCCCUUUUCUCCUGCUAUAUAUCUACCCUUUGCAGAUGGGGUCAGGUGCUCCAGCUGCCACUCUGGGCUUGAUGCCCUGUGUCACUGUGCCUACCUUGCUCCCUGCCAAAUGACACACUAGCUUCUGUUGUUGUGGGAUUCCAUUGGCCUCCUUUGCAUUCAAGAGUCCAAUUCUGUAACAACAGCAUAGCCGCCCCGCUUGUUUCCGCAGGCUCCCUCUCAGCAGUGCGUUCUUUAUCUAGCUGGUAACUGGCAUGUUCUCUGGUUGAAGGGCGUGGCUGGCUUUCCGAGCUGAUGUGCUGGACCUGCUCUAGAGGGCAUACUCCUCUGAGCCUUUCUGUCCCUUCCUUCAUGGGCAGGAGGGCGGCCCAGGCAUUUCUGCUUAACUUAGUAUGGACCUUUGCUUCCUUCAGGCUCCUAGGAGCCCUCCUAGAGCACGUUAGCACUGCUUAGGGGCCUUGCCAGAGUUUACAACCCUGGAUCAUGGAAGGGCAGGCCCACACUGAUAAACUCUCCCUAUUCCAAGCUUAGGUUCUGACCGUCUUAGUCUUGUACCCUCAGAACCCAGCCCCACACAUUCUCCUGGUUUCUGCCCAUGCCUCUCCAUGAGGUCUUGCAGCUUCUCUGGGGGCCUUUCUUCCUGUAGCAGGCACUUCCUGCACUUCCCCAUCUAUGUAC
ensembl:lncRNA LINC00299 long intergenic non-protein coding RNA 299